rnacentral:rRNA from 1 species
GAGUUUGAUCUUGGCUCAGAUUGAACGCUGGCGGCAUGCCUUACACAUGCAAGUCGAACGGCAGCACGGGAGCUUGCUCCUGGUGGCGAGUGGCGAACGGGUGAGUAAUGCAUCGGAACGUAUCCUGGGAGUGGGGGGAUAACGUAGCGAAAGUUACGCUAAUACCGCAUAUUCUGUGAGCAGGAAAGCGGGGGACCUUCGGGCCUCGCGCUCUUGGAGCGGCCGAUGUCGGAUUAGCUAGUUGGUGAGGUAAAGGCUCACCAAGGCGACGAUCCGUAGCAGGUCUGAGAGGAUGAUCUGCCACACUGGAACUGAGACACGGUCCAGACUCCUACGGGAGGCAGCAGUGGGGAAUUUUGGACAAUGGGGGGCAACCCCGUGACUCCACGCCAUCGCCGCGUGAGUAGAAGGAAC